GGGGGAGGGAGAGAGGAGAGGCAAGGUCAUCGUUUCCUUACUGUUUAAUCUGUCACAUAUCAAACUGCGACAGUGAAUCAAAGAAUAAAAACCCACCGUUCUUGUUCAUGUUUGCACUGCAACAUGUUACAAGCAAAGGGGAGAGAAUUUGAUAAACAAAAGGGAGAAGUAUUACCACAUGUCGAAUCUGUGCAGCUGAGUGGAGUUGAGGAAUACUUUCUUCUGAGAAGCAAUUUAAUGAUCAUUCAGGAAGGCCUACACAUUUUGAAAAGCACUCAGUAAAUGAAGAACUAUGAGAAACUGUCAGCAGCUGCAGGUAUCGUCUCCUUGAUGCGGCUCCAGUUGCGAGCAGUGGUCACCCUCUGGCUCCAUUCUUCAUGUACAAGCCUUGACAUCAGAACAAGGGAGUCCAGGGAAGGAAGACAACGUGUCUGGACAGAAUGAAAGUGCAAGAUAACCAACAGGAUAAAAUGUACAUCAUUACAUACAUGGUAAUCCUUCGUGAAUGUGCUGCUGAAACAAUAUAAAAGUCUCUAAUCCCAGGGUUAUAAAUAUGGCCUUUUGAAGAAUGAACAAUGUUGCCAGUGUAAACCGUGACUAAUGUAAAAACCUAGCAUGAAAGUUGCACAAAAAUUCACCACUCAGGAGUUAGUUUCAAAGUGCUUUGAUAUCAGCUUAUGUGUAGGUAUGAGUUCUUUUUGGUUUAAAUCUGAUAUCUAUCUCUUUAUUUCCUCUGUGAUUAGCAACAGUAAAAUACUGAAACCCUUUCCUCAGCAAUUGUUUGUGUGGAUGAAAUGAUGCUAUUGUCAUACAACUCUAUCUAGCUCAUGAUGGACAAAACUGAGGGCUGUGUUUUAUAUCCAUAACCCAGAGUGUAGGUGAAACCAAUGUUCACUGCAUGGAGUGGUUUCAGCCAUGCUUAAACUGAAUGGGUAAGAAGUACUGCUUUUUGGAUUAGCAUGAUUGUGUGUUGGUGCUGCUGUGAUUGCUGUGAUCUAUCUGUUUCAGACAUAUUGUGUAUCUAUUAGAUAUUAUCAUAUGACCAGGCCCCCUGAGAAGCAUAAACAAACUCAGCCGCAGAGAAGUAAAUUGAAGUGGGCUAAUUAAGAUUUGGGGUAGUCCAAGGAUGUAAUGUGAAUGAGGCUCCUGCUUUUCUCAGAAAUUUGAUGUAAAACUCAUUGUCUUUAGCUCUGUCACUGAAAGAGGAACAGUAGCAAAUUUAUUGUUUACAAUGACCUUUUUGAGCUUACUUGUGCACUGCCAGUAGGGAGCCUCAUACAAUGGUUCCUUAUACUGAGACACCCUGGGUGAACUUUGUACAAUUUUCCAUCAAUCUGGUGAUCUAAAACAAUACUAACUACACAUUUCUAAUGGGAGAUUUGCUGUGGAUUUGGGUAGCUUCCUACAUUACAACAGUGACUACACUUCAAAAGUGUUUCUUUGGCUGAAAAGCAGUUUGAGAUGUCCAGUGGUCAGAAAAGGUGCUAUAUAAAUGCAAGUCUUUUGUUUCCUUUCUGCUGAAAGUUUUACAACUUAUAUUUGUUUGAACCCGAGAUAAAAUCUUUGGAUAAAG